GACGAGCUGGAAAUAAUCAAUUCACAUUUCCUUUUUAUUUUAAUGUUGCACAUUUAUUUAGAACAGUAAACAGUCAGUUUCACCAGAAGUCCUUUAGUAGGUGUCCUA